GGGGAUGUAACGGUUUCGCCCGGGAGUGGGGUGGUGAGGGCUGCGAGCCGGGAGUGAGUCCGACCCCGUAAAAUCAGGCUCAAAACAACAAACGCCAAGAAGAACAACGUUCUUGCGUUCGCUCCUGUUUCCGUGAAGCGGAACGUGGCCCUCAAGGCCGCCUAACACUUCAUAGAGUAGGAGUGCAGCUCUCCGCGGCGCACCGGUCGCAGCGG
rnacentral:tmRNA from 1 species